AAUUAUCAACUUCUGAAACUUUUGUGACAGAAGCUUGGACUUGGAGGUCGUGUCGGCUUGCAAAAGUCGACUCCUCUGAAAUGCAUUAGCGUGAACCUUACGGAUCGCCUUCAGUGUGAUAAUUAUCUGCGCUGUGGUGUGAAGUAUCUUAUGUUCUUGCUUCUAACCGUCCGCAAGGACACUUACUUGACA
rnacentral:misc_RNA from 1 species